GCCGAUGAUGAUUCGUGAUAUUGUGGUGCUGUUGGAUUGAUGCCGCGGGAAGAUUGAUCAGCGAGGAGAAUAAUAGGUGAUAAACUUUCUGAUGUUGUUGGGAGCCCAUAUUAUGUCGCACUUGAGGUGCUUCUGAAAUCAUAUGUGGCCCAUAAGCUGAUGUCCUUCACCACCGCGGCCGUCCCAGGGGGCGUGAGCGGGCCGGUGCUCCGCAUGUGCAAGAAUUGCAAGAAGCAGUACGACCCGGCAGCAAAUCACCCAUCAUCCUGCCGCGACCACACAGCCCACUUUGGAGAAUACUUCUAUUUGAGGUUUGAUGCCCUCAUGGUGCUAUGACUGUAAGAUAUUUGACCAAAAAGAGGUGAAUUUUGAGUUUUUACCAUGCAAGUUAAUUAUAGGUUUUUGUUAGCCUGAGCAGUGCUCUUCUUGGGGCCUAUUGCCUUAUGGAUUAUGAGUUCUCUUGAGUGAGUAGGUACCAUUGCAUCAAUGCUGAUAAGCGGUGGAUGAUCCAAUCUAUUCUUUUCCUCUUCUGUAUUUGCUUAAAUUUAAUCCAUGGUCUGCAUCAAACUAUUUAUUUGUUCAGGACCAUGAACCAUCAAAUGGUGUAUUUAAUUAAUGAUUACUAUGGGUUCUCUAAGACAAAUAGCAUGGUGCUGUGUAGAAAUUUCAGGUUAAUUAUGUUGAACAUGUUGCA